rnacentral:rRNA from 1 species
GGACUCUAUUGAGGCCCCGUAAUCGGAAUGAGUACACUUUAAAUCCUUUAACAAGGAUCCAUUGGAGGGCAAGUCUGGUGCCAGCAGCCGCGGUAAUUCCAGCUCCAAUAGCGUAUAUUAAAGUUGUUGCGGUUAAAAAGCUCGUAGUUGGUUCUGCGUGCCGCGCUGUCGGUUCGCCGCCUGUCGGUGUAACUGGCAUGUCGCGGCAUGUCCUGUCGGUGGUGAACGGAGUCCACAAUGCUACAUAGGCUUUAUAGCCGAUGUUAGCGUCGUGUGUACUUCCGUUGGCCGAUCUCUCCUACUUCGGUGCUCUUAAACGAGUGUCGAGGUAGGCCGACACGUUCACUUUGAACAAAUUAGAGUGCUUAAAGCAGGCUGAAAUAUCUGCCUGAAUAGUGGUGCAUGGAAUGAUAAAACAGGACCUCGGUUCUAUUUUGUUGGUUUUAGGAAUAUGAGGUAAUGAUCAAUGUGGACUGGCGGGGGCAUUCGUAUUGCGACGUUAGAGGUGAAAUUCUUGGAUCGUCGCAAGACGCACUAGAGCGAAAGCAUUUGCCAAGUAUGUCUUAAUUGAUCAAGAACGAAAGUUAGAGGUUCGAAGGCGAUCAGAUACCGCCCUAGUUCUAACCAUAAACGAUGCCAGCCAGCGAUCCGCCGAUGUUCCUUUAAUGACUCGGCGGGGAGCUUCCACCCGGGAAACCAAAGCUUUUGGGUUCCGGGGGAAGUAUGGUUGCAAAGCUGAAACUUAAAGGAAUUGACGGAA